rnacentral:lncRNA from 1 species
UUGAAGACAAUCUUUUUAAUUGUGGCUGGGACAUCAUUCAAAGGUGGUUCCCGUUCAGAAAUUACAUGUGUAAUGGCUGAAAAUAUAAGUCCUCUUCCAGUGGGUAAGUUAUUUUGCUUUAAUAUCAAUUAGUCAACCAGGGUUGGAUCUAGAGCCUAAUCUCGGGAGGGACACUGCUACAUUAUUUUUAAAGGAACAAUCCAGGCACAAUAACUACUACAGCUGUCUGUUGCUUUUAUGGUGCAAGGAGUGCAAGUAGUCAGACCAGUUUUACAACUUACCUUGGGUUUGCCAGUAUAGGGGCUGUAGUAAGGGAUAGGGCCUCUAGCAGGAGAUAGGGGCAGUAAUGUGUGUGUGUGUGGCGUGCAAUAUGUCUUAGUGGUCAAGUGUGUGUGUGUGUGUGUAAGGGGUCUAGUGUGUGUGUGUGUGUGUGUGUGUGUGUGAGGGGUGCAGUGUGUGUGUGUGUGGUGCAGUAUGUAUAAGUGGUGCAGUGUGUGUGUGUGUGAGGGGUGCAGAGAGUGUGUGAGGGGUGCAGUGUGUGUGAGAGGUACAGUGUAGGUGUGUGGGGUGCAGUUUGUGUGGAUGUGAGGGAUGCAGUGUGUGUGUAAGGGGUGCAAUGUCUGUGUAGGGGCAGAGUGUGUAAGGGGUAAAGUGUGUGUGUAUGAGGAGUGCAGUUUGUGUGUGUGUGAGGGGUUCAGUGUGUGUGUGAAGGUUGCAGUGUGAGCAUGUAAGGUGUGCAGUGUGUGAGGUGUGAGGGGAGAGUGUGAGAGUGCAGAGAGCGUGUGAGGGGUGCAGAGUGUGUAAGUGGUGGUGUGUGAAUGGGGGCAGAUAGAAGCAAAUAUAUGUUUGUUUUAUUAAAAUAAAUAUACUUUAUUUUCCCACUUCCUUUCACCUUUGCCAAGGGAGGGGGGACAUUGCCAGCAAGCUCAGUUUUUCCUAGUUGCUUUACUGCAGCUGUAGUUUACUCUCGCGAGAUCUGGAGAGUUGCCAUGGUAAUCGCUGCAAUGGUCCAACCUCGCAAGAGGAACCAGGCAGAGCUGCAGGGUAGAGUUGCCGGGUCCUCUCUCCUUUCCCUACCGGCUGCUGCAUUUCAGUGACAACAGGCCAGUGAGGGAGAUCUCUGAUCUCUCCUUCGGUCUGCAGGGCCAGCACUUAAGGGAGAGCAUGGGAGAUCCUCAGCACUUUACUGUUUUCUUCUGGAGGGGAGGGGAAUUGCCAACACCUGGAUCCACCACUGUAGUCAACAAAGUGAAUUUUGGUGACCCUGUCCUAAAGCCUCACUCCCAUCUCUUCCCAAUUUCAUCACUUAGCAUGCAUUUGGCACACUCUUACAGACAGUAUCAAAAAAUCCCAGGACCUUCCUCUACUAAAACCCAGCCCUACCUCUACUAAACAGACACACACAGGGACUUCAUCAGGGUAAAAAUCAGACAGUUUUAAAAGCAAUCAUAAAGUGCAUUUAUUCCACCUCCCCCCAAAAGUCAUUAAAUAUCUUUUUUCUGGCAUGUGUGCCUCUUCAGAUAGUUCCUUUGUUCUCCAUUCAGGUGUUCUCAAUAACCUUUUCUUUGCUUCCUUGUUCCGGUUUUCUGACGUCAUCACGUGGUAGCGCCAUGCGGUUUACAUGUGUGUUCCAUUGUUAUUUAUCCAGAUCUUCCGGUAGUGUGGAGCUGGAUGCGUUUCACUAGCGUUUCAUUCAGUUGGUCUUUGGUUAUUCCGGCUCCAUGCAUAUUCAAUGUCCAUGAAUUCAUUGAGAUAUAUAUUGUAAGAAAGAGGAGGGGGUGUGGAAAUAUGUCGAAUUAUUCAAUCAUAAUAUAUUCACAUACAAAUAAAACAAGUUUUUUCCAUAUAAUGAAAAAAAUGAAUGAAAAUAUGUGAAACCCAUUUUUAAAACCUUUAAAUGAACAAGAAAAUACUUUUCACACUCCUCCCCUUCUUACCUGGAGUACCCAAAUUAUAGUUUUAACUUUUUAUGAUUUGAUAGUUGACCAUAAACUUAGUCCUUUGCGUGUAAAGGAAUUUCCUAUAUGUAUCACCAGGAUACUACUAGUGAGUAUAUAAAAUUCUUAAUUCUUGAUUUAUGGACAUCCAGAUAAAAAGCAGAGGGCACGUUCCAUAACAUCAUAUGUUUCGUUAUAAUUCCCCAAAUGUGAAACCAUGUAUAAGAAAAUAGAUGGAAAAUGGAGAGAAGAUGGAAAGUGUGGUUGAGUAUACAAACGUGUUAAAAAAAUAAAAUAAUAAUCAAUGAAAAAAGAAAUAAAAUGAAAUAAAAAUAAAAGAAUAUAAAAAAUAUAUGCAAAAAAAUCUUGUACAUAAAAAACCUUACUAUAGAGGACAUUCUUUUACCAUUUCCAUAUGGUAUAGUUAAUCUAAAAAAUACCAUAGAUCAAUGUCUAUGUUUAGUCCCCCUGGUUGUAGAGUCUUCCGGGUAUUUAUCCAAUACAUUUCUCGCUGUGCUAAUUUUUUGAUUAUAUUUCAUCCCCUCCAGUGGUUCUCCAUUUGAUCCAAACCAAUAAUAAAAAAAAAUCUUUCCAAUUGAAUUUUGGACACAUAUUACAGUGUACGGGGACUAUGUGCUUUUUUAAAAUGUCUUCUAAUAUUGUUUUGAUGUUGUAAAAUGUGUUCUUUUAAUUUUCUACAGGUUCUGCUUACAUACUGUUUGCCACAUGGGCAGUAGAGCAGAUAAACUACAUUUUUGGUUUCACAGUUGAUAUUGGAUUCUAUAAAAAAAAAAAAGAAAUUCUAGUUAUUGUACUUUGAAAUUGUUUCACCUUUAGAAACCUUUGCGUUCUACAUGCUUUGCACUUCUUACAAGAAUAAAAACCUUUGUUAUUCUUCCUCAAAGUGCUUUUUUGUGCAUGCUUAAGUGCCUCACUUGGUGCCAGGAUACUUUUAAAAUGUUUUGCUUUUCUGAAAAUCACAGGUGCUUUACCCGGGAGAACCUUGCCUAACAUUGGGUCUCUUAAUAAUAUUUUCCAGUGGUUAUUCAGAAUAGUUCUUAUUUUUUGAUGUUGUACAUUAUAUUGAGCUAUGAAAGCGUAUUUAUAAGCAUUAUUUUUUUCCUUACCUUUCUUCUUAUUAUUACUUAUUAGAUCGCUUCUAUUUACAUAUUUUUGGGGGGCUUCCCUCUCUAGUGUUUUUUUCUCAUAUUUUUUUUAUAUGAGUUUAUCACAUAAAUGUUUCGCCUGUUGUUGGUAAUCAGAGUCAUUUGAACAGUUUCUACGAACACGGAUCAAGUGGAUUUUAGGUAUAGAUUCUAGCCAGUUUUUGUGGUGACAGCUUAUAUUACACCAUCCCAGCUAUCAAUCAAAUAGCCAAGACAGUGGUGCCCUCCCUGAAGCCUUUAUUUCUUAUAGUAAAGCAUUGGAUAAAAUGUUUCUCUAUGAGAAGUAUUGCAGGCCCAUGAAGCAAUGGCCACACAGUAUGGUGAUGUCAACGCAUGCACCCUCCAUGCCAAUCCUUCUAUAAGUCAUGCUUCUCUAAGUUCUCCCCGGAGAGGGACUGUCUCGCCUCUGGAUUAGAGAUAAGUUAAUCAUUUAUUAAUAGGAAAUGGGGGGCAGAAUGAGUGUAGGAGAUACCACAACAAUCCAGUGUUAUAAAUAAGCAUAUGUAUUUAAUGUGUCAAUGAGUGUUUCUUGAGUAAGCAGUUACUUAAAACCAAACUAUAAAAAAUGGUAGACAACAUUUCUUAACAUUCUAUGGCUUAAUUUCUUUAUCUUCUUGUUCUGUAUUGAGAACGUGACCUGUUUUGCUAUCGGUGCAAUGAACCGACAGGAAAGAACUGCUUUACCAAUGUUACAAUGUGCUCUGCUGAGCAGAACAUCUGUCUUUCAACAAUCACACAGACUAUCUAUG